UUGCUGAUGUUUCCCAAUAGUAAAAUCACCACCCAGCAGAGAGAUGAAAACAGAAAAGCUCCAGCAGGACCAACAUCUUGGCAAUCUAAAGCUGGGUUCCUAAGUCUGGGAUGUGUCUGACUAAGUCUGUCACAGGCAGACUCUGCAAAUGCUCUGCCCUUUUAUCUUCACAUCCAGUGAGUCACACUCCUUUUUGUGUCCCUUUCCUCCUUCCUCCCCUGAGCUUUUGGCUGCCUGCUCCACAGCUGCUCUCUCUGGCAUUUCAAGUGGGAUAGCUGGACAUUCACUUUAAGGUAAGAGCUGUCAGUCUCCCUUCUGAGAUAGGCAGAAGAACUGGGACAACACAGCACCCCUUGAGCAGCACAUACAAACUGAGCACUGCUGAAGCAAGGGUGGCAUCACAACCCCACUGUGCCUGUGCAUUUCUAAAAAUAGUCCCAGAAAAAGCUGUUCUUCCUCUCCCUCCCAGCACCAGCGAGGAACCACUGGCACAUCCUGUAAUGCUACUAAGAGGAGAAAAGCAACAGGUGAUGGAAGAAAAGGGAUUGCUCUGGCACAACCUCCUGAGCAGGGUGUUCUCUCUAAGUUGUUCACUCCCGAGAGCAAUCCCAUCUGGACAGCUCAGAAACUUUACCAGGAACUGUUCCUGCUCUGCUUAUAAAGAAGGAAGAGCCGGACUUGCAGUGCUGUGAAGUGUCCUGCCCCCCUGAACAGCCAGGGAAAUCCUACACACAAAGGUCAAAACAACAGAUACUAAAGACAGUAACUUCCCAGGGAUGCCUCCAGUGUUCAUGUGUCAGCAUCUAAGAACCUCUGAGAUCAGACAAUUCAUAAACCAACUAAAAGGCUGACCUAUCUUCCAGACAGGCACAUCCACGCUGAUUGCCUCUGCAGGGUAAUAGUUUAUAUCAACAGGCAUUUUGGCACAGAUCAUUAAACAUCUUUCUACAUUUGUGGCAACUACAGCUCCCUUUUCCUUCUUCUAUAUCACCAUCAUCCUGAUAUCAUGAGACACUUCCUGUAGAAUCACACAAAUACACAAAUUACAGAGAGGGAAGGCUCUGCAGGACUGAAAAGCAUUGAUGUGAGAAGUCAGAAGAACUUACAGCAGUACCUGUCCUCCUCAGUGAUCAACUUCGGCGUCUUCAAACUGCCCUGCAACUACUGGUGCUACAUCCACCUCCAUCCCAUCUGAAAAAAACAGACAGUGCUCCAUAAACAAGCGGAUGAGGGAUGACGUUUUCACGGGAAAGAGAGCAGAUGCCCUCUGCUGACAAGAGGUGGCCAGGACAGAAAACCCCUUCACUGAACUUCGGAAAGCAGCCUAAGGAAACACUGGUGAGCUCACAAGUUUCUCGGUUUGCUCCAGCUCUGUCAGUCACUUAGAGAUGUCACCAGUUCCUACAACCUCAUCUCACCCUGCCUUAUUAAAAGACUUCAACACUGGAUUUUAACUAUUUCAUGUUUUAAAUGAAGUUUUGGUGCAACAAAUGGCAUGAUUCCUUUGAAUAACUUUACUUGAGCAGAAAGAAGCUGUAUCCUGUUCUGAAACAAUCACUGAAAAUAAAGAAAAAUUGCCCUAUGCCACAA